rnacentral:rRNA from 1 species
UACGUAGGUGGCGAGCGUUAUCCGGAUUUAUUGGGCGUAAAGCGUCCGCAGCCGGCUUGAUUAGUCUAGAAUUAAAGUCUGGAGCUUAACUCCAGUUCGUUUUAGAAACUGUCAGGCUCGAGUGUGGUAGAGGCAAAUGGAAUUUCUAGUGUAGCGGUAGAAUGCGUAGAUAUUAGAAGGAACACCAGUGGCGAAGGCGAUUUGCUGGGCCAUCACUGACGGUCAGGGACGAAAGCGUGGGGAGCAAAUA